UACGUAGGGUGCGAGCGUUAAUCGGAUUUACUGGGCGUAAAGCGUGCGCAGGCGGCCCGUUAAGACAGGUGUGAAAUCCCUGGGCUCAACCUAGGAAUUGCGCUUGUGACUGGCGGGCUCGAGUACGGUAGAGGGGGGUGGAAUUCCUGGUGUGGCAGUGAAAUGCGUAGAGAUCAGGAGGAACACCGAUGGCGAAGGCAGCCCCCUGGGCCUGUACUGACGCUCAUGCACGAAAGCGUGGGGAGCAAACAGG
rnacentral:rRNA from 1 species